rnacentral:rRNA from 1 species
UACGAAGGGGGCAAGCGUUGUCCGGAAUUAUUGGGCGUAAAGCGCGCGCAGGCGGUCCCUUAAGUCUGAUGUGAAAGCCCACGGCUCAACCGUGGAGGGUCAUUGGAAACUGGGGGACUUGAGUGCAGAAGAGGAAAGUGGAAUUCCAUGUGUAGCGGUGAAAUGCAUAGAGAUGUGGAGGAACACCAGUGGCGAAGGCGACUUUCUGGUCUGUAACUGACGCUGAGGCGCGAAAGCGUGGGGAGCAAACAGG